GGAUUUUUUGUCAAAGCACCUCAGAUAUUCAUUGUUAUCGGGAUGUUAAGAGCAUUCCAUGGAAUAUAACAAGUGUAUCUCGAGCCGGUUUCUCAAACUUACCUACCCCACCUUUAAGUGUUAUUUACAGAAAUUGAAAUGUAGAUGCAGGGUUGGGGACAGCUACUUCCCAAUAGAAAGUACCCUAUAAAUGAUGUGUUUGUAUAUAUUAAGCUUAUCACUAUCUAAUGUAAUGCCUUAUCUUUAAAUAUAUAUACGAUGGCCGGCAGGUGCAAACGCGGAACAACGGCCCAAAACGCACACAUAAGCAGGAAACAGCUGCAAAUAAUGAAAUGAAAAACAAACAAACCCCGAAAACAAACGCAACAGAAAAACGCUGCAAAUACAAAAACACAUACAAACCCAAAAACACAGUGCUCCAGGCCUCUAGGGGGCGCGCUACGUGGAACAGAUGGAUGUCUGACCAGACGGACAUAGAGAGAACGAACGAGAGUGAUGGAAAUUGAAGCCGGAGGAAACAAAGUUGAUUGAAGUGGACAAAGUCCAUAUAUAAGAAGGAGCAAUUUGGGGUGAAGUGUCUCAAGGACACAACGACAUACUGACUGCAGUGGGGUUUGAACCUGUGACCCCCUGAUCCCAACACCAAGGAAGUGAUCAAAUGUGAAGACAUGCUCAAGAACAAAUAUAGAGAAGACAUUCAAGGAGAGAGACAGACAAAACACAGAUUCAACGGCAUUCCAUAAGGAGGGUCAGGAACUCACGCUUGGGACCACCAGUGUCCCUCCAUCCUCAGUGUGUCCCUCAUCAUCAGUGAACUUAACUGACAUCUCAUGAGAGGGGUCGAAUGAGGCACCUUUGAAGCCGCGGAUUGCUCCAUCCCACACAUUGGCUCUUAAUAUUGAACCUGCUGCAAGAUGUAUUUGUUAUUUUUGCAGAGAGUUCUGCAACAAUGUCCUCCGCAGUCAGGUGUUCUGUGUGAUGUAUUGUAAUAUUAAAUGAUGAAGCUAGUAAUAAGAUGUAUAGAAUAGAACAAUUAAGUGGUAAUAGUAACAAUUAAUACCUUUCCUCUGCAGUUUGCUCCAUUGUGUCUUCUGGCUCAGACUGGCUAUCAAUAAUGAUAAGUGCAUACAGAUUUGUGUAGUUGCUGCAGUGAGAAGACAGUUGAAUAAUGACUUUCAAAUACAUAAUAUAUGCAUGACAGUCAUAUUUACAAAAGGAUGUCGAUCCUCUUCCUGUUUUUUUUUCAAUACAUUGGGUUCUAAACUGACAACAGCACUUUUGUCAUACUCCUGCACAAUCCUUGUAAACAUUUGAAAUGGAUGCAAGAAACAAUAUCUGAUCUUUGAAAAAUAUUUGUGGGUGGUUUUUGUAUCGUCUUCACUAAGAUGUUGUGGGUGUCAUUUGGAAAUGUAUAAAAGUAUAAUUGUUCUGCUUCCUGUCAAUGUUACACACUGUGAUUGGAGGCUAUACAAACAAACACAUGUAAAAUAAAGAUACACACCAAACAACUGUGUCACGAUGCAACUGUCAACAUCGUUUACCUAUAGAAGUGGUUCUGACCCGGGGCAGA